CCCUUAGAGUUUGAUCCUGGCUCAGGAUGAACGCUGGCGGCGUGCUUAACACAUGCAAGUCGAACGAAGCACUUUUACAGAUUUCUUCGGAAUGAAGUUUUAGUGACUGAGUGGCGGACGGGUGAGUAACGCGUGGGUAACCUGCCUCACACAGGGGGAUAGCAGUUGGAAACGGCUGAUAAUACCGCAUAAGCGCACAGUACCGCAUGGUACAGUGUGAAAAACUCCGGUGGUGUGAGAUGGACCCGCGUCUGAUUAGCUUGUUGGCAGGGUAACGGCCUACCAAGGCAACGAUCAGUAGCCGACCUGAGAGGGUGACCGGCCACAUUGGGACUGAGACACGGCCCAGACUCCUACGGGAGGCAGCAGUGGGGAAUAUUGCACAAUGGAGGAAACUCUGAUGCAGCGACGCCGCGUGAGUGAAGAAGUAAUUCGUUAUGUAAAGCUCUAUCAGCAGGGAAGAUAGUGACGGUACCUGACUAAGAAGCUCCGGCAAAUCUG
rnacentral:rRNA from 1 species